CAGUAGCCGCGGUAAUACAGAGGGUGCGAGCGUUAAUCGGAUUUACUGGGCGUAAAGCGUGCGUAGGCGGCUUUUUAAGUCGGAUGUGAAAUCCCUGAGCUUAACUUAGGAAUUGCAUUCGAUACUGGGAAGCUAGAGUAUGGGAGAGGAUGGUAGAAUUCCAGGUGUAGCGGUGAAAUGCGUAGAGAUCUGGAGGAAUACCGAUGGCGAAGGCAGCCAUCUGGCCUAAUACUGACGCUGAGGUACGAAAGCAUGGGGAGCAAACAGGAUUAGAUACCCCAGUAGUCCCUGUCACUUAUAC
rnacentral:rRNA from 1 species